GGGGCUGUCCUGACUGCUGGAGCUCUGCUACUCACCAUCUACUGCACUCUGAAGAGGAGAUCCACAGGAGGAAGUGAUACCACUGCAGACACACAGAAUGUGAGAGACUCUCCCAGUGACACAACCCCUCAGAUAGAUGCUGAGCCCUCCGAUUAUGAGAACUGGAGCAAACCACCACAGGACCUGGACAGUGACACAGACCCUCAGAUAGAUGCUGAGCCCUCCGAUUAUGAGAACUGGAGAGAACCACAAAAGAACCUGAACUGAACAGAACCACCACAGAACCUGGACAGUGACACAGACCCUCAGAUAGAUGCUGAGCCCUCCGAUUAUGAGAACUGGAGCAAACCACCACAGGACCUGGACAGUGACACAGACCCUCAGAUAGAUGCUGAGCCCUCCGAUUAUGAGAACCACAAAAGAACCGGGACUGAAGAGAACCACCACAGAACCUGGACCAAAGAGAACCACCAUAGAACAUGGACUGAAGAGAACCAAAACAGUACCUGGACUGAAGAGCAACAGCAUCAAACCAAAGCUAGGCCUCACAAUGCUAUUCUCUUACUAUCAUAAUGCUUUAUAGUCUAGAAGGUUUGAGACACUGAGCUUUAACUUCUGAGUAAGUGCUGGAAUUUAGAUUGUUCUCCUAAUGAUAAAUACAGUAUGUGUCUAGAUGAUCAAUACAGUAUGUGUCUAGAUGAUUAAUACAGUAUGUAUAUAGAUGAUAAAUGAUCAAUACAGUACGUGAAUAGAUUCUCAAUACAGUAUGUAUAUAGAUGAUCAAUACAGUAUGUAUCUAGAUGAUCAAUGGUAUAGAUUGUGCUUCUGCUAUUUUUCUAUAAGAUUUUGCCAUUUCCAGAUUUGAUUACAUUUCACAUAGAAAUAAUUGUAACUCUUUAUUAGCAAAUGAAUAGUGUGAGUCUUGGCGAUAUAGGCUCUGCUCCUUCAGGGUAGCAGUAAACUAUACCAAUCCCCCAGCAGGAACACAGAACCUAACAGGUGGAGGCUGGGGUGGUGGGAGGAGCUACUCUCCUGCUCAUGAUCAGAAAA